rnacentral:lncRNA from 1 species
AUUCUGAUGAGGAGUAUCUCAGCCUGUUCAAACUCAGGCAACAGCUACAGAAGCGCUGUACUGAGCAGGUUGAACGCCUUGCGGAGUGUGAAAAGGCUAUUCUUCAGAUGAAGUCAGAGCUGGAGAGACAAAAUCAGGAAAAGGUGGAUCUGAAGCUAAAUCUCGCUGCGUCUCACAAAGUGCACCAGAGCACUCGCAGCCAGCUGGAACAGGAAGUGAAACGUCUGAAAAAGGAAGUUACAUGCUUACAACAUGAGCUGGGGACAACACAAAAGGUGCAGGUGACACUGCUCAGGAAGUCAGAGGAGGAGGUGGAGGAGGCCCGGCGAGAAUCUGCACAAAGGAGCAGGGAGCUGGAUCUGCAGAGAGUAGAGCUGCAGAGGCUUCAGGAGGAGUUACAGAAGGAGGAGGAGAAGAUGAGGGGCGCCGUCAGAGAGAACCAUAACAUGAGCACUUACAUCAGACAGUUGAGCCACGAGCUGGAGGAGCUACGCAGCAAGCACAAAGUCACAGGUAGCAGUCAAUAAAAAGAUCAGUUACUCGUGGCUGCGUCAACAAAUACAUUUUCAUUAAAAAUG